UACGGGGGGAGCAAGCGUUGUUCGGAUUUACUGGGCGUAAAGGGCGCGUAGGCGGCCAGCACAAGUCAGUUGUGAAAUCUCCGAGCUUAACUCGGAAAGGUCAACUGAUACUGUGCGGCUAGAGUGCGGAAGGGGCAACUGGAAUUCUUGGUGUAGCGGUGAAACGCGUAGAUAUCAAGAGGAACACCUGCGGCGAAGGCGGGUUGCUGGGCCGACACUGACGCUGAGGCGCGAAAGCUAGGGGAGCGAACGGG
rnacentral:rRNA from 1 species